UGGGGAAUAUUGGGCAAUGGGCGCAAGCCUGACCCAGCAACGCCGCGUGAGGGAAGAAGGCUUUCGGGUUGUAAACCUCUGUCCUUGGUGACGAAAAAAAUGACGGUAGCCAAGGAGGAAGCCCCGGCUAACUACGUGCCAGCAGCCGCGGUAAUACGUAGGGGGCGAGCGUUGUCCGGAAUUACUGGGCGUAAAGGGUGCGUAGGUGGCCUUUUAAGUUGGAUGUGAAAUACCCGGGCUUAACUUGGGGGGUGCAUCUAAUACUGGAGGGCUAGAGUGCGGGAGAGGAAAGCGGAACUCCUAGUGUAGCGGUGAAAUGCGUAGAUAUUAGGAGGAACACCAGUGGCGAAGGCGGCUUUCUGGACUGUAACUGACACUGAGGCACGAAAGCGUGGGGAGCAAACAG
rnacentral:rRNA from 1 species